rnacentral:lncRNA from 1 species
GCCAAAAAAAAGAAAAGAAAAACUAAAUGGAAAGCUAGUCAUUAGGAAAUAUUUGAAGUCGUAGGAUAUGGGUUAUAUUGUCACUUAAAGUGACUAGAAAAGUUUCUUUGUUUUUAGAUCACUGAGAAAAAAUUCUACUUUGUGGAUAUACUGUUUGUCUCUGAACCAUAAAGAGAAUCAAGAUUUGUCUUCUCUUAGUCAUAUGGUGCUGAAGUAUUCUUAUAGUGAAACCCUAAGAAUUUUGACUUGGGGAAGCAUUAUCUUUCUUUGUUAUAGAAUUGUUUCUUUUAUUUUUUUAACUUUAUCCCUUCAUAGUAUUUUUAAAGUGGUCUGUUCAGAGUUAAUUUAUGUAAGUCUUUUAAUCACC